rnacentral:rRNA from 1 species
UACGUAGGGGGCAAGCGUUGUCCGGAUUUAUUGGGCGUAAAGAGCGUGUAGGCGGUUCGGGAGGUCCGUUGUGAAAACUCGAGGCUCAACCUCGAGACGCCGAUGGAAACCCUCGAACUAGAGUCCGGAAGAGGAGAGUGGAAUUCCUGGUGUAGCGGUGAAAUGCGCAGAUAUCAGGAAGAACACCCGUGGCUAAGGCGGCUCUCUAGUACGGUACUGACGCUGAGACGCGAAAGCGUGGGGAGCGAACAGG